GCAAACCGACACAGGUGGGUGAGGAGAGUAUCCUAAGGCCAGCGAGAGAACUGUUGUUAAGGAACUCGGCAAAAUGACCCCGUAACUUAGGGAUAAGGGGUGCCACCAUCAGGUGGCCGCAGAGAAGAGGCCCAAGCGACUGUUUACCAAAAACAUAGGUUUCUGCUAAGUCGCAAGACGAUGUAUAGGAGCUGACGCCUGCCCGGUGCUGGAAGGUCAAGGGGCUCUGUUAGAG
rnacentral:rRNA from 1 species